UCAGUAUAUAGAAGAACUACAAAAAUUUGUGGAAGACGAUAAUUACAAGCUUUCAUUAAAGAUAGAACCAGGGACAAGCACCCCACGUUCUGCUGCUUCCAGAGAAGAUUUAGUAGGUCCUGAAGUAGGAGCGUCUCCACAGAGUGGACGAAAAAGUGUGGCAGCUGAAGGAGCCUUGCUCCCACAGACACCGCCAUCCCCUCGGAAUCUGAUUCCACAUGGACAUAGGAAGUGCCAUAGUUUGGGUUAUAAGUCAGCAUUUUUAAUUUUAUCUUUCAAAUUUUUAAGUCUUUUGUAAUUGGAUUUAUUGUCGAUUUAUUAGUUCAGUAGAAAAUGGUAUCCUUGAAUAGUUUUCUUUUUUCUUAAUAGCUGUUUUCUGAUUCAGUAAAAUGCCUUGUUUGCCUAAAAGCUUUUAUUUCUUACUUUACCUGAAUUUGGAAAUGGGAUUUUGUCAACAAUGCAUUUAUAUUUGGGGACGAUAAAUGAACAUUACAGAGGGCCAUCAUAAAUAAAAUCAGGAUAGCAAUAUACCUUUUUAAAAGAGUUACAACCUUUAUAUCAAGACAGUCAUUGUUUGUCUUAACCAAAAUAAGUCAAAAAUAACAGCUAUAAAAAUUAUUUUCUUUAUUCCUAAAUAUAAAGAAAACUGACUUUUUGUUUAA
rnacentral:lncRNA from 1 species